GGGAGGAGCCCAGAGCCUGAAUCAGUGUGUGUGUUAGUGGAAGCGUCUGGAAAGGCGCGCGAUACAGGGUGACAGCCCCGUACACAAAAAUGCACAUACUGUGAGCUCGAUGAGUAGGGCGGGACACGUGGUAUCCUGUCUGAAUAUGGGGGGACCAUCCUCCAAGGCUAAAUACUCCUGACUGACCGAUAGUGAACCAGUACCGUGAGGGAAAGGCGAAAAGAACCCCGGCGAGGGGAGUGAAAAAGAACCUGAAACCGUGUACGUACAAGCAGUGGGAGCCUCUUAAUGGGGUGACUGCGUACCUUUUGUAUAAUGGGUCAGCGACUUAUAUUCUGUAGCAAGGUUAACCGAAUAGGGGAGCCGAAGGGAAACCGAGUCUUAACUGGGCGUUAAGUUGCAGGGUAUAGACCCGAAACCCGGUGAUCUAGCCAUGGGCAGGUUGAAGGUUGGGUAACACUAACUGGAGGACCGAACCGACUAAUGUUGAAAAAUUAGCGGAUGACUUGUGGCUGGGGGUGAAAGGCCAAUCAAACCGGGAGAUAGCUGGUUCUCCCCGAAAGCUAUUUAGGUAGCGCCUCGUGAAUUCAUCUCCGGGGGUAGAGCACUGUUUCGGCAAGGGGGUCAUCCCGACUUACCAACCCGAUGCAAACUGCGAAUACCGGAGAAUGUUAUCACGGGAGACACACGGCGGGUGCUAACGUCCGUCGUGAAGAGGGAAACAACCCAGACCGCCAGCUAAGGUCCCAAAGUCAUGGUUAAGUGGGAAACGAUGUGGGAAGGCCCAGACAGCCAGGAUGUUGGCUUAGAAGCAGCCAUCAUUUAAAGAAAGCGUAAUAGCUCACUGGUCGAGUCGGCCUGCGCGGAAGAUGUAACGGGGCUAAACCAUGCACCGAAGCUGCGGCAGCGACACUAUGUGUUGUUGGGUAGGGGAGCG
rnacentral:rRNA from 1 species